CUUAUUACAAUCACAAAGGAGGAAGCGGGGAUUUAUGACUUCAUGCAGUUUAAACCACCUGCCUGCCUAAGUGGCAAAGCUAGCUGCUCACAGGACAGCUCUGAAUCUGACUAAGCUUAUUCCAUCAAACUUCACUCCAGAAUUUUCAAAUCACCGAACCCCAAAGUUAUGGGAAUUUGUUGCCAAGGGAGAAAGACAGUGGAAUUUCUGCUUUCCUGAUCUGCAGAAACUAUAAAACUGACCCAAUAGAUAUGGAUAUCGCCUCAUCAGCAAAGCAGCACUCUCGCAUAUUCUUUCCUGAAGGAUUUAUAUAGUUUCAAUAUGCUCCUCAUUGAUUCCAGAUUAGACUGUAUUGCCUGCCCUCAUGAGAUGUGUUUCUCCUCCAAGAAUUCCUGAUAGUCCUCUGGUGUGUAUGUGUGUGCACUCAUGCAUUUGGCUUUCAGCUACAGCCACCAUAUGGCGACUACCACACUUACCCUUCUCCUGCAAGAGGCACACAGCCUACCCUGAGUUUUCCGGUGGUUCUGAACAGGGGCCCAAAGAUGCCUGUGACUCAGGCUCUCCAUCACCAUUACAAUAGAAAGAAUGGACAUACAAAGAAUCACAUUUGCCUUCCACUUCUGCAAUUUGCUGACCCUAGCAGACUACACGAACUAGAUGAUUGGAACUCCUCAAGGGUAACCUCUGUAAGACUGCAGACUUAAAGGUUGUCAGCAACUUGGCUUAUAUCUGCAGUGGCUUUGUUUCUCUCCAGUGCAUAAACCAAAGGUAAAAUUGGACUCACGAGCUAACCUUUACCACCAGGCAUUCUUUUACUUGAAGAUGAUAAUAGACUUUCCUUGUGGUGGAAGUUGUGCGCCAUGAGUGCCCUCUCUUGUGUCACCGUACGAGUGUGUAAAGUAAGAAGUGCAGGCAGGGAGUAGCAGGA
rnacentral:lncRNA from 1 species